rnacentral:pre_miRNA from 1 species
UUUGUACUCCCUUCGUCCCAAAAUUCUUGUCUUAAAUUUGUCUAAAUACGGAUGUAUCUAGUUACAUUUUAGUGUUAGAUACAUCUGUAUCUAAACAAAUGUAAGACAAGAAUUUUUGGACGGAGGGAAUACUAC